rnacentral:lncRNA from 1 species
GGAUUAUGGAAGGUCCCUGGAAGAAGGGAGACUUGAGCUGAGAGCCAAGGAGUGAGUAGGACAUAGUGAGACAAAAAAGAAGGGAAGAAAGUCAACGCAGAGGAAAUAGCAUGUGAGACAAGAUUUGAGUGAGUAGAAGUGUUUUAGCUUGAGAAGAGUGAUGUGCGUAUGUGUAUGUAUGUGCGUGAGAGUGUGUGCAUGCUCAUGUCAUGGAGAAGUGAGUCAUAAGGCAGGAGAAGCAGUCAGGGGCCAGAUCAGGAAGGCCUUGAAAGCCAUGCUGAGGAGGCAGACUUGAUUUUGAGGGGAAGGGGGGGGCUUCAAAGGGUUUAGACAGGGCCAUGACAUGAUCAGAUUGGUGUUUUUGAAAGAUCACUUUGGUUUCUGGGUGCAGAAACACUGGGGAUCAGGCACAAAUAAAAGCAGGAAGAAAGCCAGGAAGCUAUUGAAGUAAGGCAGGUGAGAGAUGACAGUGUGACAGACCAGAAUGGUGGCAGAGGAGAUGAAGAGAAGUGUUUGGGUUGGAAAUAUAUUUUGGAGGUAGAUCCAACAAGAUGUAUUGGUGAAUUGGAAAGAUGCCUCCCAGUUUCUGACUUGAACAAUUGGGGGGGUUGGAAAUGCUGUUCAUGGAAGUGAGGAAUAUUGAGGGAACAGGUCUAGGGGAGGGUGGGACAUGAGUUCAGUGCCAUGUUGAGGUUGAGCUUCCAGGAAGAUAUGUCCUGUAGCCAGUUGGCCAUCUAGGACUGAAACUCAGGAGAAAGGAUGAGGCUAGAGACAAAAUUGUGAGGUUUGGGGAGUGGACGAAGUAGCCCAAAGGGAGUGAAGGAGGCCAUGUUUUUUGCAGCGGCACUGUCCUGUCAAAUGAUCCCUACCCUUUGGUGCCUGCCUGCUUCAGCUCAAACCCUAGGAGGCGGGUUUAAGAGGCACUUACCAAAGACUGAAAUUUAGUGCAAAGACCCUGUGAAUAAUCCUAAAUCUUGGCUCCCUCUUUCUCCUCAGCUCCUGUCAUUUCCACAGUAUCUUGGACUGACUUGACUAGCUUCCAGUAAGAAUUUAUCCUGCGGGUGGGCCAGGCCAGCUGCCAUUCUUAGGAAACUGAGUUUCUGGCUCCCCCUGCUGGCAGAACUGGAGAUGACUCACAGCUGGGCCGCUGAGCUGGAAAGCACCCUCCUCACCUCAAAAGAGAGGCUGAAGACAUCUGCCCCAGUAUUCUUCUCCAACUCCCCCCUCCACCCCACCAAAUCCCACCCACUUUAGAACUCUUGCUGGAAAUAGCUGGAUAAAAGCCUAAAUCGGUGUCUGGGAAUCACAGAUUAAAUUCUCCCUGUUUCCAAAUUACUUCUCUUCUGCCCCAAACUCACUCUUGGCCUCCUUGUCCACGAGGAUUCCAUUUGGUUAUUUCUACCUAUCUCCAAAAACACUCUCUUCCAUUCUGAGUCCGCAUGAGCAGCAUUUUGCUGACACCCAUUUGACCUCCCUCCUCCUCAUAUGCAGGAAAGCCAUGGUCUGUGCUGGAAAGAGUACUGGGCUGGGAGUCAAGGAACCUAGGUUGAGUCCUGUUUCUGCCACCGGUUCAGGGUGUAGCCUUAGACCAGUCACUUCCUUCUUUCCCAGUGGCAGUUCUCUCACCUGCGACUUUGGACUGGACUCCAAAAAACCCUUCCAACUCUAGCGUCCUAGGCUUUGCUCCAACCACCUUACCCUUUUCAGUUCUUCAUGUGCAUCAAUCUCUCUCCUGCUUCAGGACCUUUGAUCGUGCUCUUCCCUCUGCCUGAAAUGCUUUUCCCUUCCCUUUUAAUUUCUCCUUACCCUUCAGCUCUCAGCUCAGAUGUUACUUCCUCAGAAAAACCUCCCCAGCCCCUUCAGACUGGGUCAGGUACCCCAUCAUAUGCUCUCAGAUUCCCUGGAACUCUCUUCCUGUGCCCUCAUCAUGGUUUGUGAUUUUCCACAUGCUUGCAUGUUUAUUAUUUCAAGUCUCCCCCCAAAUCCCCAAACUUCAAACUCUUUGAUAGCAAGAACCAGUCUGUUAUGCUCACCACUGUAUCCCAGCACCCAGAUGUUUGCCUGGCCAUCUUGUAAAGGCUCAACACAUAUCUAUUAAAU